rnacentral:tRNA from 1 species
GGGGUUUUAUUUUAAUUAAAAAUAUAUGUUUUGCAAACAUAAGAUAUCAAACUCUA